rnacentral:tRNA from 1 species
GCCUUCGUGGUGUAGUGGUCAGCAUGCUGGGCGCGUAUUCCAGAGGUCCGUGGUUCGAGUCCCGGCGAAGGCG